AUGUGCCACUCGUCCAUCGCGUUUUCCGUCCGCCGUCCGCACGCACCGGCCAACUGUUCGCCACGUUUUGGUGGCU
rnacentral:sRNA from 1 species